rnacentral:piRNA from 1 species
UAAAAAUUCAGGGCACGACUUGGGUAU